UACGUAGGUGACCAGCGUUGUCCGGAUUUACUGGGCGUAAAGAGCGCGCAGGCGGUCGUUCAAGUCGAGUGUGAAAGCCCCCGGCUCAACUGGGGAGGGUCAUUCGAUACUGAUCGACUGGAAGGCAGGAGAGGGAAGCGGAAUUCCCGGUGUAGUGGUGAAAUGCGUAGAUAUCGGGAGGAACACCAGUGGCGAAGGCGGUUUCCUGGCCUGUUCUUGACGCUGAGGCGCGAAAGCUAGGGGAGCAAACGGG
rnacentral:rRNA from 1 species